UACGGGGGGAGCAAGCGUUGUUCGGAUUUACUGGGCGUAAAGGGCGCGUAGGCGGCGCGGUAAGUCACUUGUGAAAUCUCUGAGCUUAACUCAGAACGGCCAAGGGAUACUGCAGUGCUAGAGUGUGGAAGGGGCAAUCGGAAUUCUUGGUGUAGCGGUGAAAUGCGUAGAUAUCAAGAGGAACACCUGAGGUGAAGACGGGUUGCUGGGCCAACACUGACGCUGAUGCGCGAAAGCCAGGGGAGCAAACGGG
rnacentral:rRNA from 1 species